AUGGCUCAGGAUGAACGCUGGCGGCGUGCCUAAUACAUGCAAGUCGAACGAACUUCCGUUAAUUGAUUAUGAGGUGCUUGCACUGAAUGAGAUUUUAACACGAAGUGAGUGGCGGACGGGUGAGUAACACGUGGGUAACCUGCCCAGAAGCAGGGGAUAACACCUGGAAACAGAUGCUAAUACCGUAUAACAGAGAAAACCGCCUGGUUUUCUUUUAAAAGAUGGCUCUGCUAUCACUUCUGGAUGGACCCGCGGCGCAUUAGCUAGUUGGUGAGGUAACGGCUCACCAAGGCGAUGAUGCGUAGCCGACCUGAGAGGGUAAUCGGCCACAUUGGGACUGAGACACGGCCCAGACUCCUACGGGAGGCAGCAGUAGGGAAUCUUCCACAAUGGACGCAAGUCUGAUGGAGCAACGCCGCGUGAGUGAAGAAGGGUUUCGGCUCGUAAAGCUCUGUUGUUAAAGAAGAACGUGGGUGAGAGUAACUGUUCACCCAGUGACGGUAUUUAACCAGAAAGCCACGGCUAACUACGUGCCAGCAGCCGCGGUAAUACGUAGGUGGCAAGCGUUAUCCGGAUUUAUUGGGCGUAAAGCGAGCGCAGGCGGUCUUUUAAGUCUAAUGUGAAAGCCUUCGGCUCAACCGAAGAAGUGCAUUGGAAACUGGGAGACUUGAGUGCAGAAGAGGACAGUGGAACUCCAUGUGUAGCGGUGAAAUGCGUAGAUAUAUGGAAGAACACCAGUGGCGAAGGCGGCUGUCUGGUCUGUAACUGACGCUGAGGCUCGAAAGCAUGGGUAGCGAACAGGAUUAGAUACCCUGGUAGUCCAUGCCGUAAACGAUGAUUACUAAGUGUUGGAGGGUUUCCGCCCUUCAGUGCUGCAGCUAACGCAUUAAGUAAUCCGCCUGGGGAGUACGACCGCAAGGUUGAAACUCAAAAGAAUUGACGGGGGCCCGCACAAGCGGUGGAGCAUGUGGUUUAAUUCGAAGCUACGCGAAGAACCUUACCAGGUCUUGACAUCUUCUGCCAACCUAAGAGAUUAGGCGUUCCCUUCGGGGACAGAAUGACAGGUGGUGCAUGGUUGUCGUCAGCUCGUGUCGUGAGAUGUUGGGUUAAGUCCCGCAACGAGCGCAACCCUUAUUACUAGUUGCCAGCAUUCAGUU
rnacentral:rRNA from 1 species